rfam:Galdieria sulphuraria unplaced genomic scaffold scaf_67, whole genome shotgun sequence.
GCAGAGAUGGCCGAGCGGUCUAAGGCGCUGCGUUCAGGUCGCAGUCAUCCCAGAUGGCGUGGGUUCGAAUCCCACUCUCUGCA